UUGCUUAAGCGCACGGAAACUUAAUCGGCGUUGCGGUGAGAUGUACGAGCGGAUAAUCAGGACAAAAGGGGCGGAACACGAUUCGAUUAAUGGAUCGACGCAGUCCACUUCGUUGGCAUCGAACGGAACCCGCCCUUUAUGGUGUUUACGGAUCUAUUUAGAAAUUUCCUGGCCGUUAGGCACAUGGCCAAAUAAGCAUGGUCAUCAAUAAACCGAAUGGCGAUGCCUGUGCUGAAACUUGGAAAAAUCAAUAGACAACGAGAGGAAACAUUACAGGUGACUUCCGACUGCUUCCUGCACGCGGAAACAUUGGCGGAUUAAGGACAGUGAUAAUUUCUAUCCAUCUAACUACAGGACGAAUUAUACGGCGAUCUCUACGACAUAAAGUUUCAGAUAUUCCGAGUCGCAGAAUUACGCAAGCAGAUACGGAGAGUGAGCUCAUGCAUAAAACAAGAAAGAGAUACAGCUGACACGAUUGCUUCAAUCGAUAUGUGAAAUCGCAACGAUUUCCAGCACUUGCCGGCAUAAAUCGCAAAGGCGGAAAGGUGACGAGAAAACAAAUGGCGGUAGAGUGACAAUGAGUAGUACGGAGGCUCGGAGAAAGAAAUUCAGGCAAGACGGCGAAAAAUUAAAGUAGCGUCCUGAGAAGAAGCGAAAGGAUGAGGGCGGAAGAAAAUGGUCGGGCGACCGUAAAGGCACGUCGAAACAAGCGGGCGUAAAAAACGGGAUGCAAUUGGCGUGGGCUUA